GACCUUAUGGUGCAACAGUAGCAUGUCUGACUCCAGAUCAGAAGGUUGUGUGUUCAAAUCACAUCAGGGUCA